rnacentral:rRNA from 1 species
CUGCGGAGGGAUCAUUAUUAGAAGCCGAAAGGCUACUUAAAACCAUCGCGAACUCGUCCAAGUUGCUUCGGCGGCGCGGCCUCCCUCACGGGGGCGCCGCAGCCCCGCCUCUCCGGAGGUGUGGGGCGCCCGCCGGAGGUACGAAACUCUGUAUUAUAGUGGCAUCUCUGAGUAAAAAACAAAUAAGUUAAAACUUUCAACAACGGAUCUCUUGGUUCUGGCAUCGAUGAAGAACGCAGCGAAAUGCGAUAAGUAAUGUGAAUUGCAGAAUUCAGUGAAUCAUCGAAUCUUUGAACGCACAUUGCGCCCGCUAGUACUCUAGCGGGCAUGCCUGUUCGAGCGUCAUUUCAACCCUCAAGCCCUGCUUGGUGUUGGGGCCCUACGGCUGCCGUAGGCCCUGAAAGGAAGUGGCGGGCUCGCUACAACUCCGAGCGUAGUAAUUCAUUAUCUCGCUAGGGACGUUGCGGCGCGCUCCUGCCGUUAAAGACCAUCUUAACUCAAGGUGACCUCG